rnacentral:rRNA from 1 species
CUGGCUCAGGAUGAACGCUAGCUACAGGCUUAACACAUGCAAGUCGCGGGGCAGCAUGUCGGUUGCUUGCAACCGAUGAUGGCGACCGGCGCACGGGUGAGUAACGCGUAUCCAACCUUCCCCAUAGCAGGGUACAGCCCGGCGAAAGUCGGAUUAAUGCCCUAUGUCUUCGCAGAUGGCAUCUGAUGUGAAGCAAAGGUAUUCCGCUAUGGGAUGGGGGAUGCGUCUGAUUAGCUUGCCGGCGGGGUAACGGCCCACCGGGGCGACGAUCAGUAGGGGUUCUGAGAGGAAGGUCCCCCACACUGGUACUGAGACACGGACCAGACUCCUACGGGAGGCAGCAGUGAGGAAUAUUGGUCAAUGGGCGAGAGCCUGAACCAGCCAAGUAGCGUGCAGGACGACGGCCCUACGGGUUGUAAACUGCUUUUAUGCGGGAUAAAGUUCGCCAUGCGUGGUGUUUUGCAUGUACCGCAUGAAUAAGGACCGGCUAAUUCCGUGCCAGCCGCCGC